ACGAGAAGAAGCUGACAGAAUGACGGAGCAACGAACCACACCUUCCCUGGUGGGAGCGGAGGAGACCCAGGUGGAGAUUGGAAGUGUUAGCACCUAUUGUUCUGUAUCGGGACGGUUAAGUUGAACUUCGGAUGAGUUGAUUUUUCUUUCACUCCCUCAACAACAUCAACUCUUCCGUAGUGCGUGUUCGUUCAGAUUUAUGUAUAAAAAGUCUUUCUUACUUUCACUUUGUUUUAUAACAACAUACUAAUUCAAUUUGUCGUUUUUGUUCACUUUUACACUAAUAUGGCGUCGAGUAGUUCGAAGAAACGGGCAUGGGACAUUAUUUUAGGAAAAAA